rnacentral:rRNA from 1 species
UGGGGAAUAUUGGGCAAUGGGCGCAAGCCUGACCCAGCAACGCCGCGUGAAGGAAGAAGGCUUUCGGGUUGUAAACUUCUUUUAAGAGGGACGAACAGAUGACGGUACCUCUUGAAUAAGCCACGGCUAACUACGUGCCAGCAGCCGCGGUAAUACGUAGGUGGCAAGCGUUAUCCGGAUUUAUUGGGUGUAAAGGGCGUGUAGGCGGGACUGCAAGUCAGAUGUGAAAACCAUGGGCUCAACCCAUGGCCUGCAUUUGAAACUGUAGUUCUUGAGUGCUGGAGAGGCAAUCGGAAUUCCGUGUGUAGCGGUGAAAUGCGUAGAUAUACGGAGGAACACCAGUGGCGAAGGCGGAUUGCUGGACAGUAACUGACGCUGAGGCGCGAAAGCGUGGGGAGCAAACAGGAUUAGAUACCCUGGUAGUCCACGCCGUAAACGAUGGAUACUAGGUGUGGGGGGACUGACCCCCUCCGUGCCGCAGCUAACGCAAUAAGUAUCCCACCUGGGGAGUACGAUCGCAAGGUUGAAACUCAAAGGAAUUGACGGGGGCCCGCACAAGCGGUGGAGUAUGUGGUUUAAUUCGAAGCAACGCGAAGAACCUUACCAGGGCUUGACAUCCUACUAACGAACCAGAGAUGGAUUAGGUGCCCUUCGGGGAAAGUAGAGACAGGUGGUGCAUGGUUGUCGUCAGCUCGUGUCGUGAGAUGUUGGGUUAAGUCCCGCAACGAGCGCAACCCUUAUUGUUAGUUGCUACGCAAGAGCACUCUAGCGAGACUGCCGUUGACAAAACGGAGGAAGGUGGGGACGACGUCAAAUCAUCAUGCCCCUUAUGUCCUGGGCCACACACGUACUACAAUGGCGGUAAACAAAGAGAGGCAAGACCGCGAGGUGGAGCAAAUCUCAAAAAGCCGUCCCAGUUCGGAUUGCAGGCUGCAACCCGCCUGCAUGAAGUUGGAAUCGCUAGUAAUCGCGGAUCAGCAUGCCGCGGUGAAUACGUUCCC